UUACUUUAAAAACAUGCAGAUUUCAAGUUAGGGAGACUUCGGGAUCUUUGGGGAAAGCAAAACACAGCCUCAAUUUCCUUUUUAUUGCGACCGAAACGGCAUUUCGAUACGCAAAUAGCUGGAACCCCGAAGGUGUCGCUGUUUCAUCCGUGACCCUCGUGGGGAGGAGGUAGGAGGAGAAGGGAGCGAAAGUUGUUUAAAGUCAGUACUCAGCUAAUCCGCCAAACGAAUGAGGGAAAGGCAGAGCGCCGAUAGUUAAAUCCUACAGGCUGAGGAAGGUACAUGUCGCCAGAGCCCAACAGGAUUAAAUCGGCAUUUCGGAGGGAUUUACAAACAUGGGCUACAGGGAGACGUGUGCUCUGUACUGGGCAGAAUUUUGGGAUUAUGAGACUCCCAAAGUUGUGGUGGUUAAAAACCGAACUUUAGGAGUUAUCUACAGAAUUAUCCAACUUCUUAUCAUAUUGUAUUUUGCCAUAUAUGUUUUCAUCAUCCAAAAGGCAUACCAAGAAAGAGAGAAUGCUCCAGAGAGUUCUGUCAUCACCAAGAUGAAAGGAGUUGGAAUUUCAAAUUCCUCCAUGGGAAUUAAAAUAUGGGAUGUUGCGGAAUAUGUCAAUCCACCAGAGGGUCGAGAUGUUUUCAGCAUCACUGUCCGAACGAUAACAACCCCAUUACAAAGACUGCACACCUGUCCUGAGAGUGCCAAUGUUCCUGGAUCUAAAUGCACAUCUGACUUAGAUUGUGUGGCUGGAGAGAUGGAAUUGCUUGGAAAUGGAUUGAAAACUGGGAGAUGUGUAACUCAUCAUGAUUUGAUAAAGACAUGCGAGGUCUACGCUUGGUGUCCAGUGGAGAAUGGACUAUCUCAGAGGGACUCUAUAUUGACAAGGGCCCAGAAUUUCACCAUAUUCAUCAAAAACAGUAUUCACUUCCCCAGGUUUGGGUUCACAAAAGGAAACAUUCAGAGAAAUAGAGACCCAGAGUAUUUGAGAAGCUGCACUUUUGAUGAGGAGACCAACCUCUAUUGUCCCAUUUUUCCAUUGAGCUUAAUUAUUGAGAAAGCAGGAGAGACGUUUGACAACCUCAGCCAAACGGGAGGAAUCCUGGGAGUAAUUAUAAGCUGGAGCUGUGACCUGGAUAAGGCAGCUUCAGAAUGUAAACCUCAUUAUUCCUUUAGGAGGCUCGAUUCUGCAUCCCAAGGUGGCGAGGCUUCCUUAGGGUAUAAUUUCAGGCAUGCAAAACACUACGUGGAGAAUGGCACUGAAUACAGAAAUCUAAUAAAAGUGUUUGGGAUAAGAAUUGACAUUAUUGUUCAUGGCAGGAAAGUUUGAUAUUGUCCCAACAAUUAUUGGUAUUGCUGCAGCUCUUACAUCUAUUGGAGUUGGUUCAUUCCUGUGUGACUGGAUUUUGCUGACCUUCAUGAACAAGAAUGAAGUCUACAGUGCAAAGAAGUUUGAAGAGGUGAAAAUACAACUAAUCAGACUCGGGGACAUUUUCUGAUGGAAUUCACUGAGAUUGUUUGUAGCCUUCUCAUUCUGCGACUUAGCAGUGGAGCUCUCCAUAGCUGCUGUGGUCAGCUGGCAGGAAGUGUACUUCUGGAUGGAACUGAUUUCACCCCAUCUAGGAGUGCAGCUCAGAACUGACAAUAUUUUGGUGGCCUCAAUGAUAUAGCACUUGGAUUUACCAAUGAGGUGUCUCACAGAGAUGGCAUUCCUCAGCUGAAACGUUUAAUUAAAGCCCCAUCAAUCACCUCUGGUGAACAUGAAAAAUCCAAUGACAUUAUUCAAAGAAAACAGGAAACUCCCCUGUUGUGAUGGCCAAUAUUCUUCCCACAAUCAACAUCAUAAAAAAACAGAUCAUCCAGUUAUUCAUUCAUUUGCUGUUGGAUGGAGCUUGCUGUGCACAAAUUUGCUGCUGCAUUUACAUAACAGUAAUGACUGUAUUUCAGGGUUAAAUAAUUGGCACUCAGGUAUUUAGGAAUGUCCUAAAGACAUGACAUAUCAAAUUUUUAUGUCUUCAGGGGUUGUUUAUCUGAACUAGUAGAUGUAGUUUCAGUUUAAUGUUUUAGUUGGAAGUUGGCAUCUUCAACAAUGCAGCAUUCCUGCAGUACAGCACUCAUGCCAAUCUAGACUAUAUGGAGAUAGAAUUGAGAUCUUUUCUCACAAUCUACUACACAAUAAGGUAUACCAGGUGACGAUAAAUACCCUGGUGGCAGAGAAAGAACUCUUGGUCAGAUUUUGGAGGAAGAUGAUCUGCUCUGGGAGAAAAGGAGUAUCAGAUUGUGAUCUCCAGUUUACCCAUAUUGUACAGCUGGUUACAUAGCAAGACAGGUUAAUUAAGGUGUAUGGCACAGGGAAGCAUCAGGGGAAAGGAAACAAAUGGCCCAUAUAUUGAAAUGGUGCAAAGAUGAAAAAGCAACAUAUGAUAAAAUGCCAUUGAAUUACUAUAUCAUGGGCAGAAUUUUCCCCCGAUCUGGUCCGCGCAGCCAUUUUACAUUCACAUAGGUGCCUCAGGGAGAUAAGUUUUAAGUUUGAAAAAUUU